GGGAGCCUUCGGGCGACUACCAGCCAAUGCUUUGACGAUCUGAGAAAAGCGCCUUCGGGUGAUCGUAAUGUCUCCGUAGCCUGAAAGGGGACGCCUUAGAGGGUGGUACAUCCGUUUAACCUCUGGAAACGGAUAUCACGGAACAGUGAUCGAGGUCUUU
rnacentral:sRNA from 1 species